rnacentral:rRNA from 1 species
AUUGAACGCUGGCGGCAGGCUUAACACAUGCAAGUCGAGCGGGGGAAGGUAGCUUGCUACUGGACCUAGCGGCGGACGGGUGAGUAAUGCUUAGGAAUCUGCCUAUUAGUGGGGGACAACAUCUCGAAAGGGAUGCUAAUACCGCAUACGUCCUACGAGAGAAAGCAGGGGAUCUUCGGACCUUGCGCUAAUAGAUGAGCCUAAGUCGGAUUAGCUAGUUGGUGGGGUAAAGGCCUACCAAGGCGACGAUCUGUAGCGGGUCUGAGAGGAUGAUCCGCCACACUGGGACUGAGACACGGCCCAGACUCCUACGGGAGGCAGCAGUGGGGAAUAUUGGACAAUGGGGGGAACCCUGAUCCAGCCAUGCCGCGUGUGUGAAGAAGGCCUUAAGGUUGUAAAGCACUUUAAGCGAGGAGGAGGCUACUCUAGUUAAUACCUAGGGAUAGUGGACGUUACUCGCAGAAUAAGCACCGGCUAACUCUGUGCCAGCCGCCGCCGUAA